rnacentral:tRNA from 1 species
AUUCAUAUAAUUUAUUUAAGAAUAUUGCAUUGAAGCUGCAAAAGAGAUUAAUAUAAUCUGUGGAUG